UUAAUAUUCCUGUACUUGGUGUUACUGCGAAGGGGGGACGGAGAAGGCUAUGUUAGCCGGGCGACGGUUGUCCCGGUUUAAGCAUGUAGGCUGGUUAUCCAGGCAAAUCCGGAUAAUCAAGGCUGAGGUGUGAUGACGAGGCACUACGGUGCUGAAGUAACAAAUGCCCUGCUUCCAGGAAAAGCCUCUAAGCAUCAGGUAACAUCAAAUCGUACCCCAAACCGACACAGGUGGUCAGGUAGAGAAUACCAAGGCGCUUGAGAGAACUCGGGUGAAGGAACUAGGCAAAAUGGUGCCGUAACUUCGGGAGAAGGCACGCUGGUGUGUAGGUGAAGCCCCUGCGGGUGGAGCUGAGACCAGUCGAAGAUACCAGCUGGCUGCAACUGUUUAUUAAAAACACAGCACUGUGCAAACACGAAAGUGGACGUAUACGGUGUGACGCCUGCCCGGUGCCGGAAGGUUAAUUGAUGGGGUUAUCCGUAAGGAGAAGCUCUUGAUCGAAGCCCCGGUAAACGGCGGCCGUAACUAUAACGGUCCUAAGGUAGCGAAAUUCCUUGUCGGGUAAGUUCCGACCUGCACGAAUGGCGUAAUGAUGGCCAGGCUGUCUCCACCCGAGACUCAGUGAAAUUGAACUCGCUGUGAAGAUGCAGUGUACCCGCGGCAAGACGGAAAGACCCCGUGAACCUUUACUAUAGCUUGACACUGAACAUUGAGCCUUGAUGUGUAGGAUAGGUGGGAGGCUUUGAAGCGUGGACGCCAGUCUGCGUGGAGCCAACCUUGAAAUACCACCCUUUAAUGUUUGAUGUUCUAACGUUGGCCCCUUACCGGGGUUGCGGACAGUGUCUGGUGGGUAGUUUGACUGGGGCGGUCUCCUCCCAAAGCGUAACGGAGGAGCACGAAGGUUAGCUAAUCCUGGUCGGACAUCAGGAGGUUAGUGCAAUGGCAUAAGCUAGCUUGACUGCGAGCGUGACGGCGCGAGCAGGUGCGAAAGCAGGUCAUAGUGAUCCGGUGGUUCUGAAUGGAAGGGCCAUCGCUCAACGGAUAAAAGGUACUCCGGGGAUAACAGGCUGAUACCGCCCAAGAGUUCAUAUCGACGGCGGUGUUUGGCACCUCGAUGUCGGCUCAUCACAUCCUGGGGCUGAAGUAGGUCCCAAGGGUAUGGCUGUUCGCCAUUUAAAGUGGUACGCGAGCUGGGUUUAGAACGUCGUGAGACAGUUCGGUCCCUAUCUGCCGUGGGCGCUGGAGAAUUGAGGGGGGCUGCUCCUAGUACGAGAGGACCGGAGUGGACGCAUCACUGGUGUUCGGGUUGUCAUGCCAAUGGCACUGCCCGGUAGCUAAAUGCGGAAGAGAUAAGUGCUGAAAGCAUCUAAGCACGAAACUUGCCCCGAGAUGAGUUCUCCCUGAGACUUUAAGUCUCCUGAAGGAACGUU
rnacentral:rRNA from 1 species